rnacentral:lncRNA from 1 species
AGGAGAAUGUAAACUCCGUGUGAGCAGGGACCUGGGCGGGUUUGUUCAUGCUGUUUCCCCAGAGCCUAAAACAUGACGAGCACAUGGGCCUGACUGUGGCGUUGAGCACGCAUUGUAUAUCUGCUUUAAACAUUUCCUAUGGCUAGGAACUGAUUGCUGUGCUCGCCUGUGACCACCCAGCUCGGGACAACAGACCUGCCACCCUGCUGUGUCCACCCAGACAGCAGACCUACCUGCUGUGUCCAUCAAUCUCUGUGCUGACAGAGCAGUCUCUCGACUAUUGUAAAACGGACAUUUCACUCAUAUGUGAAACACCCUGUUUGGGG